GCCUCCGUAGCUCAGUUGGAUAGAGCAAGGGCCUUCUAAUCCCUAGGUCGCAGGUUCGAUUCCUGCCGGGGGCGCAACGA
rnacentral:tRNA from 1 species